CAAACCUGGACCCCUAAAUAUACCUGCAACAUUUUGUUUCAUUCACUCUCUGUGCACGCUAGCAUAGUAGGUGGCGCUAAUGCACCUUUCAGUUGGUUGCCACCCGCCCUUUAAAAGACAAAAGAAGUCACUCAGGUUGCGCUCCGUUCCUACAAGACGUGAUCCACUUGCUGCUUCCCCAAACUUAAGUACAUGUUUGAUGAUGUGGUGUAUUUGAUGUUCUGACCUUGUCAGAGAUUUCACACUGACUCAACUUCUAUGCUCAAAUUAACACAUGAAUUUAUUACAUCGAAUGAAAUAGUACAAUUACAGAAUAAUUAUGAGAGAGGUGGUGGCUGAAUUCACCUGGAGGUUCGUCUGCAGAACAAACUGAGAGGUCGAAAAAGGUCAGCUGGAUGUCUGCAGCAGACCCUCUGCGAGGCACUCUAAGAAACAUCUCCAAAUGCCCACCUUUUUAAAGCUGUGUUGUUUAUGCAACCAGCAAGUGCCUACGUGUCCAUCGAAAGUCCAUGUUUACACAGCUGCAACAGCUUAUUUGUUUUAGUGGCCAACCUGACACCACGGUCAACUUGACCCUAGUUGCAAUGGACAGAAAUAACCCCAUAAGAGGAACAGAAUUUACUACAGAUACUUAUUUGAUGUAUGUACUCCAGAAGUUUCAUUGUUUAUAAUCUAGCUUCCCUCCUGUGUAAGGAAUGCUAAUUGCUAGAACAGUUGAUGCUAACAGCUACAGCGACAGAGAGAGACAGUGUUGCAAGGUGCCGCCACGCAAUUUGGAUGAGUCCAAGCCUCUCCAGCAUUUGUCCGGUUCGAAUCGUGUGAUAUAUGUUACUGAGGUCAUUCACUCACAUUUCACAUUUUAGCUGCUAGUUAGCGUUAGCGGCUAGCGCUAGCCUAAAGCGCUAGCCUCCACAUGACUUUGGUUUGGCUGCGAUAGUAAGUUGUGAGAGUCUGUGUUUAUAAUUACUACCGAGCCUGUCAAGUGUAUGUCAUAGCCCAAGUAAGCCUGUGAAUAUGGGUUAUGGCAAGUUCUAUCUAAGUCUAACAUGUAUGUUGUUGCUGUCUUCUCGUAUGUGUUGCAUGUCGUAUGUUUUUUUUAAUUUUUUUAUACAUGCUGACGCAUGCCAGCUACGGAAACGCAAGGAGGUUGCUUCUCAAACUGACUCCACUGCAGGCUGUGGGCACACAUCUGCCUUGUAGAAGAGUUGUUGCUCACCUCAGAAGCAAAGAUUAUGUGGAAAAUGUGAUGAAGACCAUCUUCAAUAAAUUCCUGCUGGACCCAGGUCAUUAUAUGGAGGACCUUGUAAACAUCCCUGUCCCACCAGCCCUCUGAGCAGAAUUUGAGCAACCUGACAGUGUCAGGUUCUGGCUCUGUGUUUCAGUUUUAUUUUAAAAGGACUUCGGUCAUCAGCUAUAUAAUCAUGUUUUGGGUUUCCAGUUUCCACUUCCUGUUUUAUUUUGGUAGUCUCCCGGUUUCUGUUUCAGUUCGAGCUUCACUUCCGGUUUAUGUCACGUCACAGCUGUUCUUGCUUCACCCGGUCAUUACACACACCUGUUUUAAAUCAGUAAUCACUUCUUGUAUUUAACCACCACCUGUGUCCUUAGUUCUCUGCCAGAUCGUUGUUUGUGUGUUCCCGUCAUAGUCCGGUUUAUUGAUCCUGUCCUGCCGUGUUUCGUGUACCCUGUUUUGACUGCUGAUUCUGAGCCUGCCUAGUCCCUGUCUGUCUUGUCUGCCCUGGUCUUCUGUUCUGCCUGUUGCCGACCUUGCCUGCCUAACCACGAUCUGACGCUCGACGAUUCUGGUGGUCUAAGUCCAACAUAGGUGCCUUGCCCCACAGGAAACCCUGCCCUGUUCCAGACCAGGAAAGGUGGGAUGACUUGGACUCUUCGCCCUAGAAGUCCCCAGCACCAGCUGACAAUACUUCUAGGCUAGAUAACUGCAAAGACUUACACACAGACAUAGUACUGUCAAAUUUAUGAAGAAAAAAACAAUAACUACAUUUCUAUUAGUUUUAUAUUUUAGCACUUGAUAUAUCAUACAACUUACUAAAAGCAAUUAAAAAUAUAUUAGGUCAAUAUGUAUUUAGAACCAAAACUAUGUUUGUAAACCAGAGUUCACAGGUACAUUAUGAUUAAUCUGUAACUAGUAAAAUGUUCUAAAAUUGUUUAAUGUCGGAGAUACUGAUUUAUUCCAUGCAUGUGUAAAUGUCUGAUAUACUGUAUAUUAAUUAUAUUAAUGUUUUCUGUAAUAAAUACACAU